AUGUUAUCUAGCGAAAUGCAUGUUGACAUACAGCAAUAGCAUCAAAAAACAUGAUUGUAUCUUCAUUAUAUAUUUAACGUAUUGGUAAGAUAAAGCUGGUAGGUUAGCUAUGUCAAGCUAGCGUGCCUUGUUCUGUCCAGUUUUACAAUUACAUUUGUUUUUCAUGUUCCAUGUUUCCCUUUUUUACACGUUUACAAUUAAAUAAAAGAUUUAAAGAUAUCACAUGGUGUCUUUAUUGGUUUGGCUUAAUGGUAUUAACUUUGCAAAUAAUCCCUGGUAGAUAACUUGUAAUCCGCAGAUAUAGUGUGAACAGUAUUACAGAUGGUAGGCACAAUAAGUACACCAACCAUUCCAAUUAACAAAUGUUGUUGCUUAUAAUUAUUACUAGUAGUGACAUCUGUAGAGGCAUUUAUUACCAGUAGCUAUUUCUUUAUCAAAAUGGCACAGCCUAGACAUUGAGAGACAACCCAUUGCGUGAGUACUUUUACUUUUAAUACUUAAAGUAAAUUUAAAAGUAAGUACUUUUUACUUUUACUUAAGUAGGAUUGUUGAUGUAGUACUUUUACUUUUACUUUUAUUUUCCUGGGUACUUGUACUUUUACUUAAGUACUAAACUUCAGUACUUCCUCCACCACUGCCACCAUCCCUGUGUGCGUUGUCCAAGAGGAGAGGAGAGGAGGGGAGGGAGAGAAGAGGAGAGGAGAGGAGGGAGAGGAGAGGAGAGGAGAGGAGAGGAGAGGAGAGGAGAGGAGAGCAUAGGAGGAAAGGCAGAGUAUCAUUCAUGCAUUAAAAGAGUGGAAAAGAGACAAAUUAAUGAAAAAAAAAGUAGUGAAAAAGAGACAAAUUAAUGAUAAAGUGUCAUUUAAUUGAGCAGAGAGGAGAGGAGAGGAGAGGAGAAGAGAGGAGAGGCUAAUAUUCCAUUUUGUAUUCCACUAUUGUCUCUGUACUUUUAAAAUACAAUAAUAUUAGUAAAGUGUUUUGCUGUAAUCAUCUUAUUAUAAAAUGUCCAGACUUUCAACAAGCUUGUUGCUGAG
rnacentral:lncRNA from 1 species